CUUUUUCAUUCUCGGAAAAAAGAAAAUGCUCAAUCCAUCAAAUAUUUCUCUGAAAUAAUUACAUGUUAGUUAAU
rnacentral:tRNA from 1 species